AGUGAACGUUGGCGGCGUGGAUUAGGCAUGCAAGUCGAGCGAGAACCGUAGCAAUACGGGGACAGCGGCGAAAGGGACAGUAAAGUGUAGGUACCUACCCCGAGGUCUGGGAUAGCUGCGGGAAACUGCAGGUAAUACCGGAUAAUGUCUUCGGACCAAAGGUGUGAUUCCACCUUGGGAGGGGUCUGCAUCCUAUUAGCUAGUUGGCGGGGUAAUGGCCCACCAAGGCAACGAUGGGUAGCGGGUGUGAGAGCACGACCCGCGUCAUUGGGACUGAGACACUGCCCAGACACCUACGGGUGGCUGCAGUCGAGGAUCUUCGGCAAUGGGCGAAAGCCUGACCGAGCGACGCCGCGUGCGGGAUGAAGGCCUUCGGGUUGUAAACCGCUGUCGUAGAGGAGGAAAUGCAGGGGGGUUCUCCCUUCUGUUUGACCUAUUCUAGGAGGAAGGACGGGCUAAGUUCGUGCCAGCAGCCGCCGUAA
rnacentral:rRNA from 1 species